rnacentral:rRNA from 1 species
AUAGGGUCAAGUGAAUAAGUGCAUCAGGCGGAUGCCUUGGCGAUGAUAGGCGACGAAGGACGUGUAAGCCUGCGAAAAGCGCGGGGGAGCUGGCAAUAAAGCUAUGAUUCCGCGAUGUCCGAAUGGGGAAACCCACUGCAUUCUGUGCAGUAUCCUAAGUUGAAUACAUAGGCUUAGAGAAGCGAACCCGGAGAACUGAACCAUCUAAGUACCCGGAGGAAAAGAAAUCAACCGAGAUUCCGCAAGUAGUGGCGAGCGAACGCGGAGGAGCCUGUACGUAAUAACUGUCGAGAUAGAAGAACAAGCUGGGAAGCUUGACCAUAGCGGGCGACAGUCCCGUAUUCGAAAUCUCAACAGCGGUACUAAGCGUACGAAAAGUAGGGCGGGACACGUGAAAUCCUGUCUGAAUAUGGGGGGACCAUCCUCCAAGGCUAAAUACUCAUCAUCGACCGAUAGUGAACCAGUACCGUGAGGGAAAGGCGAAAAGAACCCCGGGAGGGGAGUGAAACAGAACCUGAAACCUGAUGCAUACAAACAGUGGGAGCGCCCUAGUGGUGUGACUGCGUACCUUUUGUAUAAUGGGUCAACGACUUACAUUCAGUAGCGAGCUUAACCGGAUAGGGGAGGCGUAGGGAAACCGAGUCUUAAUAGGGCGAUGAGUUGCUGGGUGUAGACCCGAAACCGAGUGAUCUAUCCAUGGCCAGGUUGAAGGUGCCGUAACAGGUACUGGAGGACCGAACCCACGCAUGUUGCAAAAUGCGGGGAUGAGCUGUGGGUAGGGGUGAAAGGCUAAACAAACUCGGAGAUAGCUGGUUCUCCCCGAAAACUAUUUAGGUAGUGCCUCGAGCAAGACACUGAUGGGGGUAAAGCACUGUUAUGGCUAGGGGGUUAUUGCAACUUACCAACCCAUGGCAAACUCAGAAUACCAUCAAGUGGUUCCUCGGGAGACAGACAGCGGGUGCUAACGUCCGUUGUCAAGAGGGAAACAACCCAGACCGCCGGCUAAGGUCCCAAAUGAUAGAUUAAGUGGUAAACGAAGUGGGAAGGCACAGACAGCCAGGAUGUUGGCUUAGAAGCAGCCAUCAUUUAAAGAAAGCGUAAUAGCUCACUGGUCGAGUCGUCCUGCGCGGAAGAUGUAACGGGGCUCAAAUCUAUAACCGAAGCUGCGGAUGCCGGUUUACCGGCAUGGUAGGGGAGCGUUCUGUAGGCUGAUGAAGGUGCAUUGUAAAGUGUGCUGGAGGUAUCAGAAGUGCGAAUGUUGACAUGAGUAGCGAUAAAGCGGGUGAAAAGCCCGCUCGCCGAAAGCCCAAGGUUUCCUACGCAACGUUCAUCGGCGUAGGGUAAGUCGGCACCUAAGGCGAGGCAGAAAUGCGUAGUCGAUGGGAAACAGGUUAAUAUUCCUGUACUUGAUUCAAAUGCGAUGUGGGGACGGAGAAGGUUAGGUUGGCAAGCUGUUGGAAUAGCUUGUUUAAGCCGGUAGGUGGAAGACUUAGGCAAAUCCGGGUUUUCUUAACACCGAGAAGUGAUGACGAGUGUCUACGGACACGAAGCAACCGAUACCACGCUUCCAGGAAAAGCCACUAAGCUUCAGUUUGAAUCGAACCGUACCGCAAACCGACACAGGUGGGCAGGAUGAGAAUUCUAAGGCGCUUGAGAGAACUCGGGAGAAGGAACUCGGCAAAUUGAUACCGUAACUUCGGGAGAAGGUAUGCCCUCUAAGGUUAAGGACUUGCUCCGUAAGCCCCGGAGGGUCGCAGAGAAUAGGUGGCUGCGACUGUUUAUUAAAAACACAGCACUCUGCCAACACGAAAGUGGACGUAUAGGGUGUGACGCCUGCCCGGUGCCGGAAGGUUAAUUGAAGAUGUGCAAGCAUCGGAUCGAAGCCCCGGUAAACGGCGGCCGUAACUAUAACGGUCCUAAGGUAGCGAAAUUCCUUGUCGGGUAAGUUCCGACCCGCACGAAUGGCGUAACGAUGGCCACACUGUCUCCUCCCGAGACUCAGCGAAGUUGAAGUGGUUGUGAAGAUGCAAUCUACCCGCUGCUAGACGGAAAGACCCCGUGAACCUUUACUGUAGCUUUGCAUUGGACUUUGAAGUCACUUGUGUAGGAUAGGUGGGAGGCUUGGAAGCAGAGACGCCAGUCUCUGUGGAGUCGUCCUUGAAAUACCACCCUGGUGUCUUUGAGGUUCUAACCCAGACCCGUCAUCCGGGUCGGGGACCGUGCAUGGUAGGCAGUUUGACUGGGGCGGUCUCCUCCCAAAGCGUAACGGAGGAGUUCGAAGGUUACCUAGGUCCGGUCGGAAAUCGGACUGAUAGUGCAAUGGCAAAAGGUAGCUUAACUGCGAGACCGACAAGUCGGGCAGGUGCGAAAGCAGGACAUAGUGAUCCGGUGGUUCUGUAUGGAAGGGCCAUCGCUCAACGGAUAAAAGGUACUCCGGGGAUAACAGGCUGAUUCCGCCCAAGAGUUCAUAUCGACGGCGGAGUUUGGCACCUCGAUGUCGGCUCAUCACAUCCUGGGGCUGUAGUCGGUCCCAAGGGUAUGGCUGUUCGCCAUUUAAAGUGGUACGUGAGCUGGGUUUAAAACGUCGUGAGACAGUUUGGUCCCUAUCUGCAGUGGGCGUUGGAAGUUUGACGGGGGCUGCUCCUAGUACGAGAGGACCGGAGUGGACGAACCUCUGGUGUACCGGUUGUAACGCCAGUUGCAUAGCCGGGUAGCUAAGUUCGGAAGAGAUAAGCGCUGAAAGCAUCUAAGCGCGAAACUCGCCUGAAGAUGAGACUUCCCUUGCGGUUUAACCGCACUAAAGGGUCGUUCGAGACCAGGACGUUGAUAGGUGGGGUGUGGAAGCGCGGUAACGCGUGAAGCUAACCCAUACUAAUUGCCCGUGAGGCUUGACUCUAU